rnacentral:rRNA from 1 species
AGCGAACGCUGGCGGCAGGCCUAACACAUGCAAGUCGAACGAACCCUUCGGGGUUAGUGGCGGACGGGUGAGUAACACGUGGGAACGUACCUUUAGGUUCGGAACAACACAGGGGAAACUUGUGCUAAUGCCGAAUGUGCCCUUCGGGGAAAGAUUUAUCGCCUUUAGAGCGGCCCGCGUCUGAUUAGCUUGUUGGUGAGGUAAAGGCUCACCAAGGCUACGAUCAGUAGCUGGUCUGAGAGGAUGAUCAGCCACACUGGGACUGAGACACGGCCCAGACUCCUACGGGAGGCAGCAGUGGGGAAUCUUGCGCAAUGGGCGAAAGCCUGACGCAGCCAUGCCGCGUGAAUGAUGAAGGUCUUAGGAUUGUAAAAUUCUUUCACCGGGGAAGAUAAUGACGGUACCCGGAGAAGAAGCCCCGGCUAACUUCGUGCCAGCAGCCGCGGUAAU